CCACGCUAUCACGAACUGCCGACCGAACGGGUUCUUCGUAUAGAUGCGUUCGCGUAACAGAGGCAUGAAACCAACUAAAUCGAAAAGGCCACUCUCUGUCACGAUGUCCUGAAACAAAAUAUAUAGAAGAGUAUUGACAUUCAACCUAAUAAAACCUGCUAACAUAACUUGACAACAGAUUUGCGACAGAAACCAGGAUCUACAAUAUAUUCCAUUUAAAUAUACUUAAAUGAUUACAGAAUGACAGAUUCUGCCAUCAAUUUGCCAUCAUAUUUUAUUAGAUUUUAUUUUAUUUCUGUUAAUAAGUUGCAGACAAAAUUUAUAGUAGACAUAAAAUCUGUUUCUGUAGCUGGCUAGCUGAGUAAUAAGUGAAAAAAUACAAUUACCUUCAUCAAUCUGUCAAGCAAUUCGGUAGCGUUCUUUAUAUUCUGCUCAGAGUCGCACGCGAGUUUACUUAGGGCGGCGAAGAUAUCCGUGAACUGAGGCAACACCGCACCUCUGGCCACUUUGACGACAUUGUACAGACUCUCGCAGGCAUAAUAACGUACUCUCAGAUCAGCGUCGCAGAAGCACGCCAGGAUCGGAUGGAUCAGGUCCUCUAUGUACUGGCCGGUGUCUUUUCCGAGACCGACGGCGAUUGCCGCCAGACCUAUCAACCCGCCUUUGCGCGUAUGCGGGUUCUGCGAGGUCGCAAAGUCCUGUCCGAGCACCUUCAGCAACCUCUUGAUCUGCACGGUGUUGUUGUGAGCGGCGAAUUCCUUCACCAUCCUACAAGAAAGAAAUCGUCCGAAGAAAUCGUCAGAAGAAAUCAUCCUUCUGACAUAUCUGUAAGGAACCAAUUUCCGAAAGUAAACAGUGACUAAAGAUAACCUCACUUUUCGAUUUCGACGGCGGCUGGCUUCCGUUUCUCGUACAAUUUGUCAUUGAGAGAACGCACGCACGCCGCGCUGAGGGGCGCGUAAUCCCUUUCGGACAUCAUUCUGCGCGCCAAUUUAUCCCGAUCAAUUCCUAAUUCAUGGGUAAAACGUCAAAAUACGUCGGACUGCUGUCAAAAUCGCGACUCGGGCGCGUGCGGACAGUGGGCGGGAUCGGAAAUGUUCGGCAAUCAUCGGCGCGUAUGUGUGCUGCAUUGCCGACGAUACUUCAAGCUUGGGGCCGAUUGUUUCAACUUGAUAAGCUAUUUAACAGUUAAAUGUCUUUGUUUUUUUCUUCAAAAUAAACAAAGCAAACAUAUGAUUUAACUAUUCGAUAGCUUAUCGAGAAGUUGAAACAAUCGACCCUUAACAAAGUAUGUUUAACUCACUCUAACUUAUUAUACAGUUCAGAAAGUUCAGCUUAAAAGAACAGACUUAGAACUGUCAAUUCUCACCAGCACUAUGAUACACUUUCUGUACUCAGGACGAAACAAGCGUGAUGGAAAAAGGAGGAAACUUCUCUGCAAUAUUUUCUUUGUUCUCUCUGAUAAAUCUCCAAUAUACAUUAACUUCAACUUGAGUACAGGAAAUAUAAUAGUGUAGCUAAAACAUUCUACACAUUCUAAGAUGCAUAUUCUAAAUUUCACUGCAUUUUUUACUUUAAUUAGUAGAGAUUAAUAAGUGAUACAUGAUAAAACUGCGUAUCUUAUUAUAGAUACUUUAAAAUGUAUGUACUUUACAUUCAUAUAAAAUUUACAUUUAGUAGAUAUAAUUAACGUUAAUGUAUUAUGUUCAGGUUACACACUUUACAUCUUGUAUAAUAUUUAAACCUUGACAAAAAUAUACUGCAUACAUUCCAUAAAGAAAAUAUAAAUCGUCUCGUACAAACAUCCUUCAUUAAAUACGCUAUGCAGCGAGUUUUUGUCAAGAACUUGAUAUAUCGUAGAGUUACACAUUAAGAUGGAAAAUUUCUUCUAGAAAAGAUAACACACGAUUUAUUUUCGUUCGCUGUACAAAGUAACGUGGAUCACGCGUAAAUUAUGAAUAACGAUUGUGGUCGAUAUACGAAGUACCAUCUUAGAAGCGUACAAAUGGAAGUUGGAGACACGCGGGUCGUUCUAGUCGCAUGCAUAGAUCGGAAUGUUAACUCUAAUUUAUGCAUGCUAAUCUCGCUAAUAUACACCGUUCUUUUGUACGUAGAGUUUACAAAUAUAAAAAGAGGAUAUCUAAAAGUGAGAAUUUAUUAUAUGGCAGUUGAAUGAUUACAUUGCUGAUUUGUGUGAAAAUUAUACAUGAAAAAUUUUAGGAUUUCCAAAUGAUAAAAUGAUGAGAGAAAGCUGUCUACUUAUGUAAUUUACGAUACCCUUUUGUCUUCUCUCAGCAGUAAUGUAAGCUCUUUUCUCAUGAUUUGCAAACGAUUGACAGAUGUUAAAAAAAUCUAUCGAUGCUUAUAGUAAACAAUUGAGACAACCGAAGACUUUGAGCAAUGCCAUAACGCAUUUUUGUAUAUAAAAAGAAUCAUAUUAAACGUUUAAAAGACAAUUUCAGUAAACAUAAAAAAAACAGUGAUAAUAAAAUUCUAAUGUCACAAUAAAUAUAAAUAUAUGCAUUAUGGGAAAGAGCAAAGUCUUUGAUUUUCCUGAUUUUCAGAGUUGAUUAGAGGUAAACAAAAAAAAUAAAUCAUAUUUUCUGAAUUAAAAGUAAA